CCUCCCCCUGCGCCUGGGCGGCUGCCCCCGAGCACUCUCGAGCUAACUGUGCGGCUCCCGGGCCCUCUGCCCGCUCCCAGGCAUGGCGGCCUGCCGCUUGGCGUUCCUGGUGGGCCUCGCUUUCUCCUUGGCCACCCUGGUCCAGAGAGGAUUCGGAGAUGCUGGUAAUGGUCUCAACUUGGAAGAUGCGCUGCAAGAAACUUCUUCAGUAAAGCAAGAUUCGGACACGCAUUUCUUUGAUCCACAGACAACCCCAAGGACCUAUCCAAAAAAGACAGAAAGAUGGGGUCGUCUCACCACUACCACAACCAGGAGGCCUGCAAUGACCCAAGCGCCAGCAAAUCUUCCAGAUUAUGGUGAUUUUAACUUGGCUGACGCCUUGGAUGAUCGCAAUGAUCAAGAUGACGGCCGCAGGAAACCAAGUGCAGGAGGAGGAGGCUUUUCAGACAAGGAUCUGGAAGAUCUCGUAGGGGGCGGUGGCUACAAACCCGACAGGAACAAAGGUGGUGGCCCCUACGGCAGCAGUGAUGACUCAGAAUCUGGAAUGUCUAUAGAGACUGGCACCAUUGCCGGGGUGGCCAGCACCCUGGCCAUGGCCCUCAUUGGCGCCGUCUCCAGCUACAUCUCCUACCAGCAGAAGAAGUUCUGCUUCAGCAUCCAGCAGGGCCUCAAUGCAGACUACGUGAAGGGGGAGAACCUGGAAGCCGUGGUGUGCGAGGAGCCCCAAGGAUUCCUGAGAGUAAUACACUUUGAAACCUGCUAGCCAGCAUCGAGCGAGCACCGUCUAUGGGCUGUGCUGAGUGCCUGAGGAAUUGUCUUUAUUUACAGCCCCUCUCCGCAGCCUUUGAGAUACUCAUCACUGCAAACCCAGUAGGCAGAGCCGCCGCCGCCUGAGCAGCCCCGGAUCUGAGGCACCCGCUUGAGCCCCAGCCCCUCUCUCAUUUGGAUCCACAGCUGCUGUGCUGCUUUGUUGACGUCAUUGCUGCUCGUUGCUCUCAGUUCUCUGGAUAAGCUCUUGGUAUUUGCCAGUUUGGUUUCAGGCCCUCAGUGCAGGGUGGGCCACGCACCUGCCAGGCACUCUGCAGAGGUGUGGUACUGCAAGCCAAGCCCUGCUCGGGCAGAGCCAGCACCAGCCUGCCCGCCAAGGACGAGGAUGAAGAAAGCUACUUAUGCUUAGGGGACAAGACCUGAACCCAGGGUAGUGUGAUCCAUGGACGUGCUGGCUUGGCUCUUCGUGGUGGGCCUGCCUGGGGCAGCAACUUCAAAAGCUGUAAAUGGGGUAAGCCCCUAGCUAAUACCUGGUAUGUGCAGUGUUUAGGGGUAUCCUUGGAGCUCCUGCAGGGAGCAACCCAGUCAGCACCAAGUAGCACCACACACACACGUACACGCACAUACAUACAUGCAUACCCAUGCACACAGGCACACACAUGCACACACACACCAGCCAGAGGGGCGCUUUUAUUUUGGCCCUCUUUUUUGGAUGACAGGUUUGAAGGGCUGGGCUUGCAGAGAGCUGGCGCGAGUGGAGACUUCCAGUUAUUUAAGUGCAGACGUGCAUCUCAUCACAGUCCUACCAUCAGCGUUUAGGGCUUUCAGGCCUCAUUCCAUCUGAUUCCACAGGGAAUGGGUGUGGGGCUGAAGGCUGCCAUGAUUCAAGUUUCCAGGACUCAUUUGUGCACUGGAUAUGAGUGUUAUGCUGAGUGGGCGGGGUGGGGGAGACGCUGACCCUCCACUCUAUGUAUGUUCUUAUUUUGGUUCCCAAAGCUACAGAUGUCAAGAAUGAGCAUCAAAGCCAGCAGCAUGCUUGGGGUUUGCUUAAAAAUUUUUGGGGGGGGUGUGGGGAGGGAAGAGAUGUUUGCUCGGUUUCGUGACACACCCAUGGCGGGGGAACUCUGUCGUCAUCCUGCCUGUCCCGCUCCAACAAAGGGCACCCUGGAACCUAAGGCCUGGCACUUACCCACACCGAAGUGGUCUGGAUUGGGCCAGAGCAGAGCUGGCUUCUUGGAAUGUUCCGUGUGGAUCCAGGGUCAAGGUUGUCCCAGCUCUGCUGAGCUGAGUCUUGAGCCCCCGACUACUGGUGAUUAGUCAGUGGGAAGUUAAGAGUCCUAUUUCCACAAAUCUGCUUGCCUCCUUGGACUGUGGACCGCCUCGAGCAUCCCCUCGCCUGCGUGGCUCCUUCACGUCCACGGUCUGGAGAACAUACUGGUUGUGGUCAGUAGUAAGAUGGAGCACUGCGUCUUCAGGCUGCCUUUAGGAUCAACUCCGUACGGAUGUGCGGGGCUCCGAAACACCCCUCCCCUUGCUUGCCGUUAAUCCCAGACAGACCUGCACUGAGCAAACACCCCAGAACUGUGGCCUCUCGGAGCGCCCCAGUCUCAAGGUUAAUUAGCAGGUGAGGGCACUGCUUGCAAGAUGUACCUGUUUCCAGGGCCUCCCACCCUCCUUGGCCCGAUAGUUGUUAACUUUGUCACGUUUUCACAUCUAUCCCUUCCCAACACCAAAGACGCCAAGGGCUGAUGACCCCACCCCUGGAGGCCCACUUGAGGAGCUGGGCUGGAGGUGGGUCUGGAAGACUUGUCCUGUUGCCACAUAGAUAGGGUGACAUCAGGGUGUGGGGGCUCGUGCCCUGAGGGACAGGAGUGGGGAGGGCCCAGGGCUCAGCAUUGUUAGGAUGGCCACUCACCGAGGUUCCCAAGAAGUCACAGUCACAGCAGUGACCAGGACGAGGGGUGAUGGGACCACGUGUCCCUUGGCCAGGCAUGGCGCUACACUAGAGCUUUGGGUUGGCCUCCUACGGGCAGGGCCUUCUCUACUGUCAGCCCUGAGGCUCGGCACCCUUCCAGGGCCAGGCUGCCUGAGCUCGUCCACUUUGGCUUUCCAAUGCAAACCCUACAGCUGUGACAGAAAAUCAGUGCUCUCACCCCCGCUUGAUGUGAACCCUUCCUCAGGAACGACACUGACCUUAGUUAAAAGAGCUCUGGUUUGCUCUUAGCUAACCUCGGUCCUUCUGUGGAAAGCCCGUGGCCUGGCACCUAGACAUGCAGACGGUAGCUCCUGGUAACUGGAUGCCCUGAAGAUCACUUCAGCCUCUUUUCCCAGAGCGCUCAUCCUAGAGGGCUUCUCCUUCCAGCAGGAACACCAGCACCAGCGUUUUACGCUCGCGGGGGUGCUGCUGCCUGCAGAGCAUAGGGGUUUCUUACGGUUACUGUGUCCAUCUGCAAGUAGGAUGGGCCAGCUUGGGCCUGCCCUAUGGGAUAGGGGAGAGAAAAUGAGUGAACUUGGAAGGGCCAAUUGAACAGGUCCAGUCCACGUCAGCUUAACUUGGUAGGGAAAAGCAAAAAGAAGAAAGGCUCAGUAUUUAGGGUAACGAGUCUGAGCCCGAGCUCAAUGAGGUGGGGUCCCCUCUUGGCGGGGGAGCCACAGAGGAGGCGCCUGAAUGCCUCUGCCGCUCGGGUUGGGGGUUCAUACCAAUUCUCGGAGGAAGAAAGGGAGACUGAUGAAUUCCCUGUACAUUUUUUCAUGUGCUUGUGUUUAAGUGUGAAUUGUAAGCUGUCCAGUGUUGUUUGCAUUAAACAAAAUUGAACCUGACAGGCCACUGUAUUCUGACAGUGUUCAGUGAUGCUGGCUUUCCCAGAAAUAAUAGCCUUUGGUUUGGAGCCCACCUGAGUCCCUUCCUCCUCAGCCAAAGCUUGUGUUCUUGCCUUCAUCCCCUCGAUGAGCAGCUUAGUGUCAGGGCGUCCAGGCUUGGCUUGUGAACUGGGAGGAGAGCCGGACAUUGCAGCGGGCCCAGAGUGCAGCGGGCCCUGCGCGGUGACGGGAGGCUUCAUGUUGAGGUCAGAGGGCAUAUCUGGGCCAAACCAGGCUUGCUUGUAGUAAAACAUCACCAAGUCUCCGAACCCUGAACCACCCCCCCCCCCCGUCUUGGCCCAGACACUCAAAAUUUCUGGUCAAUCACAUUGAAGACUUAGUAAGAAUUAAAUGAUGAUGCAAAGGCACUUUACAUAUAUGAACUGUUCCUGGCACAGGAAAUAUUCAAUCCCUGUAUUUUAUUAUUUUUAAUUUUCCUCAAAGGAAAAAUCUACCAAAACUCCUAAAAAGGAGAGACAGCAAAAAACAAGACCACGGAGUAAACGUAAUUUUAAUUAUAGAUUAAAACAGUGCAUCAGACAGGGCAAAUACAACACUGUACCAGUUUUUAAAACCCUGAACUGCAAAGGUUUUACGUUCUAGUACACUUAAAUAAAACAGAAAAAAAGAGUCGCCUAGGUAACAAAACCGUACUUCAAGUUGUUUUAGAAACUCAGGUCUGUUCUAGGAACAUAAAAAGAAAAAGGACCUGUUGUGCUUCUUGGGAAUCCAUGGGGGUUUCUAGGGCUCCUGCUUGGGGCCGAGUGCAUGGGGAGUGGGGCAGGCGCUGCUCAGAAACCUGCCAGGGCCCAGCUGGGACCAAGCCAGCAGGCAGGGACCUGGCCCCAGUGCCGGGUGGCCAGCCCCGCACCCACGGCCGGCUGAACUGUCCGGGUAAGCCCACUCUGCGUUCUCAGGUUCGCUCAACAGUACCUGACAGCCCUGGGGCAGCUGGGGGGUUGAAUGUUAUUCCCGGAAUACCCAUUGAAGAAAAUCAGUGUAUCAACGGAUACAAUCACUCAGUUUACACUGGGAGCGUGAAUCGAAAGCUCAUUUCAAUUAAACUACAGUUUAGAAACAAAUCACCUAGAUGAUAAAAACUGAGCAUUGAUUUUAGAUGGUCAAAUUACCGUGGAUAAAGGUAAGGAUCAUUCGAAGAAUUA